rnacentral:tRNA from 1 species
UGGCUCAAUGGUUGAGCAUCUAUCUAUGAACCAGGAAAUUACGGGUUCAAUUCCUGU